rnacentral:rRNA from 1 species
CGCCGCCGCGGUAAUACCGGCGGCCCGAGUGGCGGUCACUAUUAUUGGGCUUAAAGCGUCCGUAGCCGGGUUGGGAAGUCCUCCGGGAAAUCUGGCCGCUUAACGGUCAGAAUGCCGGAGGAUACUCCCAGCCUAGGGAGCGGGAGAGGCCGAGGGGAUUCCCGGGGUAGGGGUGAAAUCCUAUAAUCCCGGGAGGACCACCGGUGGCGAAGGCGCUCGGCUGGAACGCGUCCGACGGUGAGGGACGAAGGCCAGGGGAGCAAACCGGAUUAGAUACCCGGGUAGUCCUGGCUGUAAACGAUGCGGACUUUGUGUCGGACAAGCUAUGAGCUUGUCCGGUGCCGGAGGGAAACCGUUAAGUCCGCCGCCUGGGGAGUACGGCCGCAAGGCUGAAACUUAAAGGAAUUGGCGGG